rnacentral:tRNA from 1 species
GCAGUGGUGGUUCAGUGGUAGAACUCUCGACUUCCAUGAAGGAGACCAGAAUUCGAAUUCCAGCCAAUGCA